UUGACGGGGCCGCACGAGCGGUGGAGCAUGUGGUUUAAUUCGAAGCAACGCGAAGAACCUUACCAGGUCUUGACAUCCCUGACACCCGAGAGAUCGGGCGUUCCCCUUCGGGGGACAGGGUGACAGGUGGUGCAUGGUUGUCGUCAGCUCGUGUCGUGAGAUGUUGGGUUAAGUUCCCGCAACGAGCGCAACCCUCGACCUUAGCUGCCAGCAUUCAGUUGGGCACUCUAAGGUGACUGCCGGCUAAAAGUCGGAGGAAGGUGGGGAUGACGUCAAAUCAUCAUGCCCCUUAUGACCUGGGCUACACACGUGCUACAAUGGGCGGUACAAAGGGUCGCGAACCCGCGAGGGGGAGCCAAUCCCAAAAAGCCGCUCUCAGUUCGGAUUGCAGGCUGCAAUUCGCCUGCAUGAAGUCGGAAUCGCUAGUAAUCGCAGGUCAGCAUACUGCGGUGAAUACGUUCCCGGGCCUU
rnacentral:rRNA from 1 species